rnacentral:rRNA from 1 species
CCUACGGGAGGCAGCAGUGGGGAAUAUUGCACAAUGGGGGAAACCCUGAUGCAGCGACGCCGCGUGAGUGAAGAAGUAUUUCGGUAUGUAAAGCUCUAUCAGCAGGGAAGAAAAUGACGGUACCUGAUUAAGAAGCCCCGGCUAACUACGUGCCAGCAGCCGCGGUAAUACGUAGGGGGCAAGCGUUAUCCGGAUUUACUGGGUGUAAAGGGAGCGUAUACGGCAGCACAAGUCUGGAGUGAAAUGCCUGGGCUUAACCCCGGAACUGCUUUGGAAACUGUGCAGCUAGAGUGCAGGAGAGGUAAGUGGAAUUCCUAGUGUAGCGGUGAAAUGCGUAGAUAUUAGGCGGAACACCAGUGGCGAAGGCGGCUUACUGGACUGUAACUGACGUUGAGGCUCGAAAGCGUGGGGAGCAAACAGGAUUAGAUACCCGAGUAGUC